UGUUGUGCAGAAAAGUUGUUUCGCUUCUAUCGUCAUGCCUGUAAUGGAAUUGCUUGCUGCUGAAAUGAUAUAAUAGAUGUUGCAGCUCCACCACCAGAAGCCUUGACUAGAAUCUUUAAGUCUGAUCAAGAAGUAGCAACUGUCGAUAAGACAAUGCAAGUCAGGAACCUUUUAGUUGAGGAAACUGCAGAUGAGCCUGCAAUGGAAUUGGUACCAGGACUAGCUCCCAUUUCUUCUACAUUCGAAGACCAAGAUUCUGCUGCCUUAGUACAACCUACUACACCUCCUUUAACCAUGGUGUAGAUUCCUCCCCUCCCAGAUAAUUCUGCGGAAUCUCAUUACAGCAUCUUUGCCAACUUCUCCACCAGAUAUUUCCAGCCACAACCAUCUGUUCAAGCUUCUGCCAGAAGCCUUGCUCGCUCUGUACCUUCAACCCAUCUAGAGAGUGAGGUAAUUCAUUUCCUCUCAUAUCUUGAUCAAGAAAUAUGCUUUCACUUCUAUAAGCAUUCAUUCUCAACUACAGGUGAUGCAAGGAUCAUCUUUGCAAAACAUGAGAAUAUGCUUGAUGAUUCUCUUGAGGCUCUGCCAGGGUGUUCACAGCAGCCAACAGUAAGUAGUCAUGAGAUCAGUGUCGCGCAAGAGUUUAUUCGUCGCUGCUGCCUCAUGGGAUUUGAGCAUCUCUCUGUCAAGAUCAAAGGGAUAAGUUUCUUGCAUUUGUUGAUGAGCAUUGACAACUUCAACUUCAACAGAAAAUGAAUGUAUUGCUUCUUUAGAGGAACAAGCCAGGAGUCUUGCAGUAUCCGGAAAAGCUAAUUGACAAGAGUUCAACUUCAGAUCUUAUGCAGUAUUACAUGAUGCAUUACUUUGGCAUUAGAAUCUUGAGAUUCUACUCUUAAGAAUUUAAUGCUUUCUUUUACAAUAGAAACCUUUUUUAUUAGUUAGUAUAUUUGUGAUUUGGAGAAUA